CUCAGCCACUCAGCCUCAGUCUGUCCCCAACAGCUGCAGCUCAACUACCUGGGAAACUACGUCCCCAAUGGCUGGACUCCUGAGGGAGGCUGUGGCUUCUGCAACCAGGACCGGAGGGCACUCCCGGGGGGGCAGGAGGUCUUCCAUGAGCCCCACAUCGCUGACUCCUGGCCGCAGCUCCAGGACCACUUCUCAGCUGUGAAGCUCGUGGGGCCGGAGGAGGCUCUGAGCCCAGGCGAGGCCAGGGACAUGGCCAUGUGAGCGGGUGCUUGGGGGGAGGAGAGGGUGGGAUGAGGCUAUAGGGUCAGGGGUGCUGCCACCUGCUGCCUGGCCCUUGCCUCACCUGUCACCCAUCCAGCUCCUCCUGGGCCUCCCCAUUCGCGUCCUUGCAGCCCCCAUGCUGUCACCCCUGCCCUUGCCAGCUCACCCAGACAGCAGAGAGCCUGGGGAAGGAAGGAUAGACACUGCCUCCCUCCUCUUCUCCUGGGGGCAUGGGCCAGUUACCCCACCCACACCGCCUCCCCACCCGCUGCCGUCUCAACUCGCCUCUCACCUCCAGGGACCUGUGUCGGCAGGACCCCGAGUGUGAGUUCUACUUCAGCCUGGACGCCGACACUGUCCUCACCAACCUGCAGACCCUGCGUAUCCUCAUUGAGGAGAACAGGAAGGUGAUCGCCCCCAUGCUGUCCCGCCACGGCAAGCUGUGGUCCAACUUCUGGGGCGCCCUGAGCCCCGAUGAGUACUAU
rnacentral:sRNA from 1 species